rnacentral:Y_RNA from 1 species
GGCUGGUCUGAAGAUAGUAAGUUAUCUCACUUGAUUGUUCAUAGUCAGUUACAGAUUGAACUCCUUCUUCUACUACUUUCCCACCUUCUUUCUACUACACUUGACUAACUCAAA